rnacentral:lncRNA from 1 species
CCUUGGGCAUAUAGUGGAUGUGAAGUCUGUGCAUCGUUUUGGCUCGGAUUCACGCUUUAGUUUUGCGUUAACCUAUGGAUCAAUAGGGGGUUCGAUCGUCGGAGUGCGUUUUGAGCAAAAUUUCUUGGUGCGCACCUUACAACUUAAUAGAUCGUGGGGAGUUGGAGUUUUCUUAAACAUAUAUGAGCGAAAUACUAAAAAAUGAGGAUUUUUUUUGCGAUUUUCCGUGUCUGCAAACCUAUGGAUCAAUUGGGGGCUCGAUCGUCGGAGUGCGUUUUGAGCAAAAUUUCUUGGGCGCUCCCCUAACAACUAAUUAAAUAUAACGUUUUUUUUUUUGGGAGGAGGGGGAGGUUUUUUUUUAGCCAUAUGAGCAAAAUACUAAAAACUAAGGAUUUUUGGGAAUUUUUUAUUUGUGUUAAUUAGCAUACGGAUUGUGUUGGUUUGGGGGGUUGGCGGA